GGCCAAUGUGCUUUGUAACAGAGCCAGACUGUUUUCCUAUCUCCCAGGAUUUUACUCUUUAGUUAAAACGUUGGCAAUCCCAAAGCCUUUUCAACCGCAGGAUUGUCAGGUUUAGGUGUCUCAUGUGGCCGCUCUACCUCCAGAUAUAUGGUAAUGAUGCACCUGUUGAACAAGAAAUUAACAGUGCAGAAACUUAACUUUGAAAGUGCCAGAGUGGAGUGUGCAAUACAAACGUGUCCAGAAUUGUGGCGAAAAGAUUUUGAAUCACUGUUUCCAGAAGUAGCUAAUAGCAAAUUAAUCAUUCUGACUGUAACACAGAAAACUAAGAAUAAUAUGACUGUUUAGAGUGAAGAAGUAGAAACUGAAAGAGAAGUGCUCUUAGAAAAGUUCAUCAAUGUUGCUAAGGAAAUUUGCUGUACUCUUUGUGCUGAGGGAUAUUGGGCUGACUUUACUGACCCAUCAUCUGGUUUGGCAUUUUUUUGGACCAUAUACAAACAACAAUCUUUUUGAAACUGAUGAAUGCUACCGACAUUUAGGAUUCUCUGUUGAUGACCUUCGAUGCUUAAAGUGAUUCGUCAUAGUCUCUGGGGUACCCGUGUAGUUGUAGGAAGCAUCUUCACUAAUGCAACACCAGACAGCCAUAUUAUGAAGAAAUUAAGUGGAAAUUAGCGGAAAUGUCCAUUCAUUUGCUGUAUUAUUUGUAUGUAAUAUUUGGGUUGAUCUAUAAACACUGUCAGACUAAAGUUUUUAAAAUAU
rnacentral:lncRNA from 1 species